rnacentral:rRNA from 1 species
GUGGGGAAUAUUGCACAAUGGGGGAAACCCUGAUGCAGCGACGCCGCGUGAGGGAAGAAGGUUUUCGGAUUGUAAACCUCUGUCCUUGGUGAAGAAGAAAGACGGUAGCCAAGGAGGAAGCCACGGCUAACUACGUGCCAGCAGCCGCGGUAAUACGUAGGUGGCAAGCGUUGUCCGGAAUUACUGGGUGUAAAGGGAGCGUAGGCGGGGGUGCAAGUUGAAUGUGAAACCUACAGGCUUAACUUGUAGUUGCGUUCAAAACUGUAUCUCUUGAGUGAAGUAGAGGUAGGCGGAAUUCCUAGUGUAGCGGUGAAAUGCGUAAAUAUUAGGAGGAACACCAGUGGCGAAGGCGGCCUACUGGGCUUUAACUGACGCUGAGGCUCGAAAGCGUGGGUAGCAAACAGGAUUAGAAACCCUAGUAGUCC